rnacentral:rRNA from 1 species
UACGGAGGGGGCUAGCGUUGUUCGGAAUUACUGGGCGUAAAGCGCACGUAGGCGGCUUUGUAAGUUAGAGGUGAAAGCCCGGGGCUCAACUCCGGAAUUGCCUUUAAGACUGCAUCGCUAGAAUUGUGGAGAGGUAAGUGGAAUUCCGAGUGUAGAGGUGAAAUUCGUAGAUAUUCGGAAGAACACCAGUGGCGAAGGCGACUUACUGGACACAUAUUGACGCUGAGGUGCGAAAGCGUGGGGGAGCAAACAGGAUUA